UGCCCCGCCAGGGAUCGGAGCCUCCCGGCUGCAGGCCGGUCCGUCCGCCCCCGCUCCCGGCAAGGGCUCGCUAGUCACUCCCCCAGCAGGCUGCGGCGUCCCGAAGAGAUGCUUCCACUCCGCACAAACUCCGCGGCGAGCAGUCUCAGACAGAUUCUACUUGAAGACAUCUGAAGAAUUUUGGGACAAGACUCAGACUACGUCACUGAGAGUGUUACGUUUCAGCUUAGUCUCCUUUGAAUGGGAUUAUAAAAAUAAA